GCCCUUAUAGCUCAGAGGUAGAGCACCACCAUGGUAAGGUGGCGGUCGUCGGUUCAAGUCCGAUUGAGGGCU
rnacentral:tRNA from 2 species